UCAAUAGCAACACCAUACGUGGUUGCUCUUGAGCUAAAACUUAGCGUAGAAUUUGGAUAUUUUCAAAUACCAAAACCACCACCAAUAAAUAUUAAAAACCAUCUCUACAAUUUUCUCUCAAAAAAAUAUUUUUCUUUUCUCCUCUCUCUUUUUUAUUUAAACCAACCACAACCGUUUUCUUUUUUUUUUGUCUUUUCUCUCCUCUUUUAGUUGAGAAUUAGAAUCUCAUCACCAUCAGAACCAAAAUAAUAUAUCUAUAUACAUGAGGUAUGUGAUUUCACUGGUUUAUAUUCUAUGAUAUUCCUGCCUUCUUUUCUUCUACUUUAUUCUUUUCGUGAUUCAUUGAAAUUUAUCAUAUCUUCUUUGAUGAAAAAUGGUUAUUUAAAUUAAAUAGUUACAAAAUAAAAUCUUGUGUAUAGCAUAUUUUUUCACUUAUUAUUUAUUUAUAAAUUAUUUUUUUAAUUAAAUAAUCGAAGUCAUGACCCUUGAGAUCUUAAACUAAAAAUCCUUGUUGAUCUUGUUGGUGUUGUUCGUAUUGGUGUUGUUGUGUUGGUGUUGGUGUUGAUGUUGGUAUUGGUGGUAUUAGUGUUGGUCUUACAACAGGUGGAAAAUCUGUUAGAAGAUAUUAAAAUAGGUUUUCCAACAGAUUCCCCAUUUGUUGCAACCGAUGAAAUAGCUGAUGGAAUAAAUUAAAAUAGAUCUUCCAACAGAUUCCCCAUUUGUUGAAAUAGAAGAAACAACCGCUGGAAAAAAAUUAAAAUAGAUCUUCCAACAUAUGACUUAUUUAUUUCAAUAGGAUGGUCAUCUGUUAUAAUAGGUGUGUAAUCUGUUACAACAAGGAGGUGGUUUGUUGCAACAUAUGGGUCAUCUGUUGAAAUUAUUAUUGAAAUGUAUUGUAUUUAUUAAAUUUUGUAUUACUUUUUUAGAAUUAUGUAGAGAUCAAUUUUAAUUUUAUUUGUAGAUAAAAGAUGUCUCCCAAAAGAAAGAAAAGUGAAAGUGGGAUCAACUUUUGAUCGACCAACUUAAAAGGUUAGAGUAAAGAUGGGUUCUCAGAGGAAAAAGCUGCUUGCAAAUCGAUGUAUACAAGUACUUCAUAUGUGCGAAGUAUGUGUUACUGAUCAAUUUAUCAUGGAAAACACACAUAAAGUUGAAUGAUUUUGUGAAUGUUGAUUUUUACCAAUUAGGCAUUGAUCAUUAAAAAAAGAUCUUGCCUUUUACAGUUGAGUUUGGUAGGUUCAAACUAAUAAGGCAGAGGAACCUAGAAGGUGGUGUGGAUACCCUGCUAAUCUAAUAAUGAUUUUGCUAAUGUUUAUAUCUAUGUGGGUAGUUUAGAGAAGAGAUAAGUAUUUGAUGGCAGUGUAUAUGUUUAAUAGUGAUAAGACUAGUUUUAAGGGUUCAAUGGAUUGUUGAAAGUCCUCCGAAUCCUUUCACUACAGCAAACAAGAAUAAAAAUUUCAUAAAAAUUAUCCAAGUUCAAAUUUAUAUGGAUGGGUUUCUCGGGGAGAUGAUUAUAGAGCAGAAGGUGUUGUUGGAGAAUACCUGCGAGACAGGAAGGGAGUUGUUGAAGACUAUAUCAUCUCAAACCUUAUUACAGAAGAAACACAAGGUUUGAAAGGAACUCAUCUAAAAUGCACAGUGUAAAAUAUGUUUCGAGGGAUGAUUUUUCCUGAGAAAUUAGAUCCAUUCUUGUUUGCUGCAGUGAGAGAAUUCUGAGGCCUUUCAACAAUCCAUUGAACCCUUAAAAUCAAUCCUAUCACUAUUAAACAUCUACACUGCCAUCAAAUCUUUAUCCCUUCUCCAAACUAAACGCGUAAACAUAAACAUUAGCAAAACCAUCAUUAGACUAUAGCAUGGGACACACACCGCCUUGUAAGUCCCUCAGCCUUAUAAGUUCGGACCUACCAAACUUAACUGUAAAAGGCAAAAUUUUAUUUUAAUGAUCAAUGCCUAAUCAUUAAAAAAUAACAUUCACAAAAUCAUUGUACUUUAUGUGUGUUUGUCACGAAAACCUGAUCAGUAAUACAUACCUCACACAUAUGAAAGUGGAUCCAUCUAUUUUCACAUACCUUAUUCUUUUUACCCCAUCUGUUCUCAUCAAUGACAGCAAUAAAAUAGUGUUUUAUCUUCAGUUCCCAUCAUGAAGUAGUGUACAAUACACGAAAAGGUAGUUUGAUUGAAUCAAAAAAUUAGCUACCUUUUGAAACAGAUAAUUCAUUUGUUGGAAUUUAUCAAACAGACAGGUAAGUUAUUGCAAUAGAUUACAUAUCUAUUGAAAAGAAAUCUAAAAAGGUCUUGCUAGUUGCUUUAUUUAAUCCA
rnacentral:lncRNA from 1 species